UACGGGGGGGGCAAGCGUUGUUCGGAAUUACUGGGCGUAAAGGGCUCGUAGGCGGCCAACUCAGUCGGACGUGAAAUCCCUCGGCUUAACCGGGGAAUGGCGUCCGAUACUGGAUGGCUUGAGUUUGGGAGAGGGAUGCGGAAUUCCAGGUGUAGCGGUGAAAUGCGUAGAUAUCUGGAGGAACACCGGUGGCGAAGGCGGCUCACUGGCCCGUAACUGACGCUCAUGCACGACAGCGUGGGGAUCAAACAGG
rnacentral:rRNA from 1 species